UUUCCGUAGGUGAACCUGCGGAAGGAUCAUUAAUGAGUUGUCAUGGGGUUCGAUGCUGGCAGCCAAUUUUUGGAUGCAUGUGCUUGCCCUAACAAUCAUCUUCCAAACACCUGUGCACAUUUUUGAGGGAGUCUUGAGUUGGUUGCCGCUCUUGGGUGAUUUUCUCACAUUCCCUUAAACCAUUAUACGCUAUUAACAAUGUUGUACGUGCUCUGUGCCGCAAGGCCAUUAAUAUAAUACAACUUUUAACAACGGAUCUCUUGGCUCUC
rnacentral:misc_RNA from 1 species